ACAGCCACACCACAUUAAAACACCCGUUUCCGCACGAUCACCAACGUUAAGCAACGUGGAGCCUUGUCAGUACCUAGAUGGGUGACCGUUUGGGAAUAUAU